GGACUACCCGGGUAUCUAAUCCUGUUUGCUCCCCACGCUGUCGCGCAUCAGUGUCAGCAACUGCCCAGCAGGCCGCCUUCGCCACCGGUGUUCUUCCGGAUCUCUACGCAUUCCACCGCUACACCCGGAAUUCCACCUGCCUCUACAGUGCUCAAGCCCGGGAGUAUCGACGGCCGAUUCAGGGUUGAGCCCUGAACUUUCACCGUUGACUUCCCGCGCCACCUACGCGCCCUUUACGCCCAGUGAUUCCGGACAACGCUCGCACCCUCCGUAUUACCGCGGCGGCUGGCAC
rnacentral:rRNA from 1 species